rnacentral:lncRNA from 1 species
CUGAUGACAUUUUGUGAUAAGCCAUCAAACUUGUGAUAAGUCAUCACAAAUGUCGUCACUUGGGGCUGGAAUUUAUGGAUUUUUGCCUAAGGCUGAUGACAUUUUGUGAUAAACCGUCACAGACGUGAUAAGUUAUCAGAAAUGUCGUCACUCAGUUUUCCAAGCUGAUAUGCUGGAGUAAAAUGGACAUAACUUUUUUCUCCGAUUUUGGAUUUGGGCAAAAUUGAUAUCGUUG